AGCGCAGGCGGUUUGAUAAGUCUGAAGUAAAAGGCUGUGGCUUAACCAUAGUAUGCUUUGGAAACUGUCAAACUUGAGUGCAGAAGGGGAGAGUGGAAUUCCAUGUGUAGCGGUGAAAUGCGUAGAUAUAUGGAGGAACACCGUGGCGAAAGCGGCUCUCUGGUCUGUAACUGACGCUGAGGCUGAAAGCGUGGGGAGCAAACA
rnacentral:rRNA from 1 species